UACGUAGGGAGCGAGCGUUGUCCGGAUUUAUUGGGCGUAAAGCGCACGUAGGCGGCUUUGUAAGUUAGAGGUGAAAGCCCGGGGCUCAACUCCGGAAUUGCCUUUAAGACUGCAUCGCUAGAAUUGUGGAGAGGUAAGUGGAAUUCCGAAGUGUAGAGGUGAAAUUCGUAGAUAUUCGGAAGAAACACCAGUGGCGAAGGGCGACUUACUGGACA
rnacentral:rRNA from 1 species